rnacentral:rRNA from 1 species
CUAUCCGAUGUUAAAAUUACUUCGGAAACUGCCCCGUUUCAACGGGGAGGAAGGAGGGGAUGACGUCCAGUCAUCAUGUCCCUUAUGUCCAGGGCUACACAGACGCUACAAUGGUCACUACAAUGGGUUGCCAAACCGCAAGGUGGAGCUAAUCCCAACAAAAGUGAUCUCAGUUCAGAUUGAGGGCUGAAACUCGCCCUCAUGAAGUCGGAAUUGCUAGUAAUCGUGCAUCAGCGUGGCACGGUGAAUACGUUCUCGGGUCUU